CAGUUAGUAGUUUAAUAAAAAUGUUAAUUUUGGAGAUUAAUGAUGUGAUAUUUCACCUUACUGA
rnacentral:tRNA from 1 species